UACGUAGGGGGCGAGCGUUGUCCGAAGUUACUGGGCGUAAAGCGCGCGUAGGCGGCUUCUUAAGUCUGGGGUGAAAGGUUCAGCGCUCAACGCGAACAGUGCCUUGGAUACUGAGAGGCUUGAGUCCGGGAGAGGGCAGUGGAAUUCCUGGUGUAGCGGUGAAAUGCGUAGAUAUCAGGAGGAACACCGAUGGCGAAGGCAGCUGCCUGGCCUAGGACUGACGCUGAGGUGCGAAAGCGUGGGGAGCGAACGGG
rnacentral:rRNA from 2 species